CGUUCGGCCGCCAUUUUGUGCGGCGAGGGCUGAGGCAAACUCUGUCUCUUCACACCGCCCCUGUGCAGGGCAGCCCUCCUUAUCCUUUCAGGUCUUGAAAACCUCUAAGGAUGGAGAUUCUGCCACCUCGCUGAGUAGCCUGUUCCAGCAUUUUACUACCCUACUGCACCAGUUUCGACUUUACAACACUUGAUCCAAUGUGACGCCAUGCCAGCAAACAAGUUCACUGCAUCACUCAUCUCCCUGGAGAACAUCUGGCCAAACUUCCUUGGGCACUUUCUUUAAGAAAGCAGCGAAGACUCCAGAAAAACCUGCAGUCAAGACUCCCGAGAGGACUUCAGCCAAGAACCCUUCAAAAAGUCCAACCAAGAGCCUUUCAAAAAGUCCAGCAAAGUCACUUCAGAGAAGUCCUUCCAAAUCAAUAUGAUUGCUAUUUACAAUAUACAUACAUUAAUGUAGCUAUAUUACUCAUCUAUAAUUGAAUGAGUACAAAAUUCUGGGGUAUUUUUGGUGAAAAUAGGGUAUUGGGCCUUGGUUUAGGAACCAAUCCCCCAUUUAUAACAUUGUUUCUUAUGAGAAAAUUGGUUCUGAGUUACAAAAUUUGGAUGUAAGACAGGGUUUGCAAGAACCAAUUGUGUUGACUGCCUGUACUCUAAAUAUGGCCUCACCAGUGCUGAAUAGAGGGAAGGACUCACUUCCCUUGAUCUGCUGCAAUGCUCCUACUAAUGCAGCCCAGUAUGCCUUAGCUUUCUUGACAACAAGGGCACGCUGCUGGCUCAUAUUCAGCCUAUUGUCCAUUGUAACCCCAAGGUCCUUUCCUGCAGAGCUGCUCCUUAUUCAGUCAGUCCCCAGUCUGUAUCCCUUACUGUGUGACUCCAAUCACUGAUCACAUGGAUCUUGGUUUUCUUUGUUAAAAAAUCCAAAAUUUGCUAAUUAACCCCCCCCCCCCCCCCCAAAUCCAUGUUUUUCCACACUUAAAAUGAAGUACCACUAUAUAGGUAUCAGUUGAACACAAUGUUUUAUUGAGAUAUUUACAAUUUUAAAGCAAUUUGGAAACCUACCAGUGCCUUAAUCAUUGAUAAAAUAAAUUCUAAAUACCUAUA